rnacentral:rRNA from 1 species
GUAAGCAUUCCCGUAGUAGCGGCGAGCGAAGCGGGAAGAGCUCAAAUUUAUAAUCUGGCACCUUCGGUGUCCGAGUUGUAAUCUCUAGAAAUGUUUUCCGCGUUGGACCGCACACAAGUCUGUUGGAAUACAGCGGCAUAGUGGUGAGACCCCCGUAUAUGGUGCGGACGCCCAGCGCUUUGUGAUACAUUUUCGAAGAGUCGAGUUGUUUGGGAAUGCAGCUCAAAUUGGGUGGUAAAUUCCAUCUAAAGCUAAAUAUUGGCGAGAGACCGAUAGCGAACAAGUACCGUGAGGGAAAGAUGAAAAGCACUUUGGAAAGAGAGUUAACAGUACGUGAAAUUGUUGGAAGGGAAACGCUUGAAGUCAGACUUGCUUGCUGAGCAAUCGGUUUGCAGGCCAGCAUCAGUUUUCCGGGAUGGAUAAUGGUAGAGAGAAGGUAGCAGUUUCGGCUGUGUUAUAGCUCUCUGCUGGAUACAUCUUGGGGGACUGAGGAACGCAGUGUGCCUUUGGCGGGGGUUUCGACCUCUUCACACUUAGGAUGCUGGUGGAAUGGCUUUAAACGACCCGUCUUGAACCACGGACCACUUUUCUU